GUGCAGAAGAAGAAGCACCCGCUUCUCACCUGAUUGACGCGUAUAGAGCAGUUAGCAGGUUGACAUCGUAUUUACUUUUAACGAUAGUAGUGUGGGUGCAUUGUGUACUCACGCUUUUUUGUGUGU
rfam:Bacillus sp. SGD-V-76 genomic scaffold Scaffold28, whole genome shotgun sequence.